rnacentral:rRNA from 1 species
UUCCGUUUGAUCCUGGCGGAGGUUACUGCUAUCGAGGUUCGACUAAGCCAUGCGAGUCGAAUGUAGCAAUACAUGGCGUACUGCUCAGCAACACGUGGACAACCUACCCUUAGGUCGGGGAUAAACCCGGGAAACUGGGUAUAAUACCCGAUAGUCCUCGGAUGCUGGAAUGCACCGAGGUCUAAAGCUCCGGCGCCUAAGGAUGGGUCCGCGGCCUACCAGGUAGUAGUGGGUGUAGCGUACCUACUAGCCUACGACGGGUACGGGUUGUGAGAGCAAGAGCCCGGAGAUGGAUUCUGAGACACGAAUCCAGGCCCUACGGGGUGCAGCAGGCGCGAAAACUUUACAAUGCCGGCAACGGCGAUAAGGGGACCUCGAGUGCCAGGUUACAAAUCUGGCUGUCGUGAUGCCUAAAAAGCAUUGCAUAGCAAGGGCCGGGCAAGACCGGUGCCAGCCGCCGCGGUAACACCGGCGGCUCGAGUGGUAACCGUUAUUAUUGGGUCUAAAGGGUCUGUAGCCGGCCGGAUAAGCCUCUUGGGAAAUCCAGCAGCUCAACUGUUGGGCUUUCAGGAGAUACUGUCUGGCUUGAGGCCGGGAGAGGUGAGAGGUACUUCAGGGGUAGGGGGAAAUCUUGUAAUUCGAAGGACCACCA